CACACCGCCCGUCGCUACUACCGAUUGAAUGGCUCAGUGAGGCUUCCGGACUGGCCCAGAGGAGUCGGCAACGACACCUCAGGGCCGGAAAGCUAUCCAAACUCGGUCAUUUAGAGGAAGUAAAAGUCGUAACAAGGUCUCCGUAGGUGAACCUGCGGAGGGAUCAUU
rnacentral:rRNA from 1 species